rnacentral:rRNA from 1 species
AGAUAGAAAGUUACUUCGGUACAUCGGUGACAGGUGGUGCAUGGUUGUCGUCAGCUCGUGUCGUGAGAUGUUGGGUUAAGUCCCGCAACGAGCGCAACCCCUAUUGUUAGUUGCCAUCAUUCAGUUGGGCACUCUAGCGAGACUGCCGGUAAUAAACCGGAGGAAGGUGGGGAUGACGUCAAAUCAUCAUGCCCCUUAUGACCUGGGCUACACACGUACUACAAUGGCAUAUACAAAGGGCGGCGACAUCGCGAGGUGAAGCGAAUCCCAAAAAUAUGUCUCAGUCCGGAUUGGAGUCUGCAACUCGACUCCAUGAAGUUGGAAUCGCUAGUAAUCGCGGAUCAGCACGCCGCGGUGAAUACGUUCCCGGGCCUU